ACGCCUCCAUAGACCACAAUUCGCUGCCCGGCAAGCGGACAGAGAUUUUCGGUUUGAGCUCUUCCCG
rnacentral:rRNA from 1 species